UACGUAGGGGGCUAGCGUUGCUCGGAAUCACUGGGCGUAAAGGGUGCGUAGGCGGGUCUUUAAGUCAGGGGUGAAAUCCUGGAGCUCAACUCCAGAACUGCCUUUGAUACUGAAGAUCUUGAGUUCGGGAGAGGUGAGUGGAACUGCGAGUGUAGAGGUGAAAUUCGUAGAUAUUCGCAAGAACACCAGUGGCGAAGGCGAGUCUCUGGACAUUUCCUGACGCUGAGGCACGAAAGCCAGGGGAGCAAACGGG
rnacentral:rRNA from 1 species